rnacentral:lncRNA from 1 species
GCUCUCACCCCUCCCCCUCUCACCCCUCCCCCUCACUACUAACAAAGACAACGGCGCUCAUGUACUUACAGAUGCAUUAUGCCAUAGCGGACAACAGCACUAACAGAUGUCUGACAGCGACAUCGAUCAACAGUUCUUCUUGACUCCUCUGCAGGGUAUCUUUGCUCAGCUGUGUGUGUGUGUGUGUGUGUGUGUGUGUGUGUGUGUGUGUGUGUGUUUGAUUACGUGAAGUGUAGGCAUCGUAAGUUUUUUAGGGGGGAAAAUGCAAAUAAAGAGAAGUAAAGGUUUUAUAUUUUUUCUCCGUGGAGAGCUCUCAUUGUGUAAAAAAAAUGUGUAUUUUUCUUUAUAUUUGAAACGGUUUGGGAGUACAUAUUAUAUUUUUUUGUACAUAGUGUGGAGGUAUGGCUGUUUACAGUCUAGGCCUAUUGAAUUACCUAAAUGUAUAUAUAGGUUAGGCCUUUUAUAUGUCUUAAGCUUAGAAAAUAAAACGGGUUUAGACUACUACUGUGUAUUGUUAAGUAUAAACAUAUAUAUACAAUGUUCUAUUUUCUAAUCUGGAAUUUAGUCUUUUAUAUUACAUAAAUAUAGAAACAGGGAUCAAUUCUGAUGUUACAUCGAGCAAAUAUCAAUAAUAAUUCAACAUAUCCAAACAAUUUUUGUGUCAUUAACAUACAGUGAGUAUGCUCAUUAUAUAUGUGCAUAUAUUUUGAUGCAAAUGUAGUGUUCAUCGCAUCAGACAAAAGUGUGUAGAACAGUGUUCACAAUUGUCAAGAAUUACGAAUGAUUGCCUUAUCAGAGUAACCGCAAAAUCGUCACCAUAACAUAAAUAUAACAUAAUGUUCUGACAUCGGCAACUUGCGGCAGCAGGGAAGUUUGUUUGGGUGGAAUCGCCAAACGUCCGGGCCAGUGACGUCACCACCUCACCCCGCUCGCUGAUUGGCCUGUUUGUAACGUCAAGAUGAGUGACGUAAUCUUCCCAUCCCGCUCGCUGAUUGGUCAGUUUGUAAAUCAAGAUGGCGGGCGGGAGAGAGCUGCUGCAUCGAUUCGAUUUUCGAGAUUUCAAGACAUCACACCAGGUUCCUUAGACACACAAGACGGCGUGUAUGUAUGAUGUAAUGAUAUUUGUUAUUUUUCUUGUAUUCUAAUAAAAGGUGAAAAUGUU